GUAGUGGAGUGGAAACGCUAAUACAACAAAAUCAAGAUUCGUUUAUUACUUCCUGUGGCGUCUGAAAAUGAGCCUUAUAUUUAUUAACAAAGCCGCCAUAUGACAAGUUGAAUGUAAUCUAUCUUUUCGCUUGAAAUCUUUACAAACCGAGGACACCUCAGAGGUUGUCAGACCAUUAUAGGAUAUUAGACGUUCAGUUAAAUAAAAGUUACAAGUGUAAAAUAUUCGCUUUCACAUAUAAUUCCUCAAACUGGUAGUUUAUACAGUGAUAUCGAAUAAGGU
rnacentral:lncRNA from 1 species